AUUUUAUGAAAUUACAUUCUUCCAAAUAUCCCAACCUAUCGUCACAUUAAUCGUCAGUCAUUGUUUAUUAAAGUGUUCAACUUUUGUGUUAAUGUGACGAUAGGUUGGAUUAGGUUAGUUUUGAGAGGGGGUCCGAAAAGCGUAGUCCUCCGCUAGUCGUUCGAUAUUGUAGUUAUUAUUCGAUAUUGCUCGUUAACGGUACAGUAUCGAAAAAUUGUAAUAUAUUUUUCGAACUUUUUUCAUCAAUAACUUUUUAACAAACAAUGAGCGACGGCUAAAACCUUCUGAAAGUUACUCAGGAGGGUGACCUCUAACAUAUAUAUGAAGGUCAAGGUCAUAGCUGCUGGGUCCGUUAUUCUAAAAAUUUACCAAUUGUUCUUUUUUGGUGAAUGAUGAGUUGAAUGGCAAUGCUUCUAGCACGUAAAUAUUUUAAUGUUGAAUGCAAAAAGUUUGAAUCAAUUUAAACAUUUUAUCGUAUAUUUUAUAUUUUCUUAGUGAAAUUAUUAAUACUAGCAUAUCAUAAACUAAAAUAUUAUAAUUUAUUUUGUUAUAAUUAAUGACAAGCUUGAUUUUCUCUUUCAUUUUAUUUAAAAUUUUCUAUUACUUAACUAUAAUAUUUGCUAUAAAUCUUUCACUUUCUAUGACUUAAAAAUUCUUCAACUUUUUAAUGUUGCUAAUAUGUGGAUGCUAUUAUUUAUUAAAAGUUCUUUGCUUCAUCAGGAUUCUCAUUUUAUACAGUUAGCAGAAGAUAUUGUCGAAUAUUUUCCAGCUGAAACAAAGGAAGUAUACUAUAUUUCAUACAAGUCGAUUAAAAUUAAUAACAAGGUUUUCAAAAAGAUUGCUCCAAAAUUAUAUAAUCAGUAUACAAAUUUAAUGAAAGGACUGUUGAGAGGAGGACUACGAGAAAACUCCAAAAUCAAAAGUUAUAACAUACAAAAUUCUAUUUCUGCAUCAGAUAGUAAGUUCACACUUUUGACGAUUUCAGGUUUUAAUCUUUGUUAAAAUGUUAAUUUUUAAAUACCGCAAGCCAUAUGUUUUCUAUUUUGUGUUCCUGGUUCAUGUCAUAUUUGAUUAUUUCAUAAGAGAUUUCUUUAGCGUCUUAUUUUUUAGAGUUUCCUUUUCUUAAACAACCAGGAGUUGCUUUAGUAAGUACUAAUUAUUGCGCUUUUCAUUUCAUUGUUUUAUUUUUAAUUUACCACUCUGUUGCAGGUUUUUAGUUCUGUUGAGCUAGAUUUUAAUGCUUUCUAUCCGAGGAAAACUAAAUCACUUUUUAUUGAAUGGGAAUUUUUCUCUCAGCGUUUAAGAUCUAUUACUGGAAUAUAAGAAAAUAAGAGUAAUUUCAAAAUUUCUGUUAGUCAUUUUUGUAUGAUUUCAUUUUGUACCAAAUGAUCAAGCUUCUUUAAAGUGGUUCUUAAAAAGAGUAGAGCUAUGCAACAAGGUCCUCUUGAAUGGAAAGCCACAUAUCGAUUGCGUAUACAUAAUUUGCAAAACAGCUCAAAUGAAGAAACAUUUUUUAAAAAUUAGAGCUUUUUAGCUCUGUUAAGCUAGAUUUUGAUGCUUUCUAUCCGAGCAAAACUAAAUCACUUUUUACUGAAUGGGAAUUUUUCUCUCAUCGUUUAAGAUUUAUUACUGGAAUAGAAGAAAAUAAGUCUCUCAGUGAUGCUGAGAUAUGUGCUCUUAAGUUUUGUUUUUAAUGCAAUUGGUUAUAACAAUGUUCAUAUAACUAAAGGAUGGAGAGUAAACAAACAAAAAAUGCUACACAGCUUCAUAUGUCACGUAAAGACUACUGAUGCUAAAGAAGAUGAAGUGAAUAUUAUUGAAACCAAGGCUGCAAAAGAAAAAAAUACUGUACAACCAUUUGUAAUUCUUGUUGGAAACGAUCUGCAUCACAUUACAGAUAAAAUGUUUUCUUACGUAAAUAUGUUUUACUUUACUAUAUACGAUUUCUUUGCAUUGUUUGCUAUUUUGCUUAUUUUAAUUUUAAUCUGUUUUUUGUCCAGAUAGUACAAAGAAUUCGAAAAAUUUUUAAACUGUUGACUAUAAACUUUAUUUUUUAUAAAAACCUUGUAAAAUUUCUUAUCUUUUGUAUACACAAACUAUUUUUCUUCUGAAAUAAAAUAUUUUAAAAUACACAAGUUUUGUUUUCGACCAA